AGUGAACGCUGGCGGUAGGCCUAACACAUGCAAGUCGAACGGCAGCACAGUAAGAUCGUGCUCUUACGGGUGGCGAGUGGCGGACGGGUGAGGAAUACAUCGGAAUCUACUUUUUCGUGGGGGAUAACGUAGGGAAACUUACGCUAAUACCGCAUACGACCUACGGGUGAAAGCAGGGGAUCUUCGGACCUUUCGCGAUUGAAUGAGCCGAUGUCGGAUUAGCUAGUUGGCGGGGUAAAGGCCCACCAAGGCGACGAUCCGUAGCUGGUCUGAGAGGAUGAUCAGCCACACUGGAACUGAGACACGGUCCAGACUCCUACGGGAGGCAGCAGUGGGGAAUCUUGGACAAUGGGCGAAAGCCUGAUCCAGCCAUACCGCGUGGGUGAAGAAGGCCUUCGGGUUGUAAAGCCCUUUUGUUGGGAAAGAAAAGCAGCAGGUUAAUACCCCGCUGUUCUGACGGUACCCAAAGAAUAAGCACCGGCUAACUUCGUG
rnacentral:rRNA from 1 species